GACGAACGCUGGCGGCGUGCCUAAUACAUGCAAGUAGAACGCUGAAGGAGGAGCUUGCUUCUAUGGAUGAGUUGCGAACGGGUGAGUAACGCGUAGGUAACCUGCCUGGUAGCGGGGGAUAACUAUUGGAAACGAUAGCUAAUACCGCAUAAGAGUAGAUGUUGCAUGACAUUUGCUUAAAAGGUGCAAUUGCAUCACUACCAGAUGGACCUGCGUUGUAUUAGCUAGUUGGUGGGGUAACGGCUCACCAAGGCGACGAUACAUAGCCGACCUGAGAGGGUGAUCGGCCACACUGGGACUGAGACACGGCCCAGACGCCUACGGGAGGCAGCAGUAGGGAAUCUUCGGCAAUGGACGGAAGUCUGACCGAGCAACGCCGCGUGAGUGAAGAAGGUUUUCGGAUCGUAAAGCUCUGUUGUAAGAGAAGAACGAGUGUGAGAGUGGAAAGUUCACACUGUGACGGUAUCUUACCAGAAAGGGACGGCUAACUACGUG
rnacentral:rRNA from 1 species